CGCCGCGGUAAUACCGGCAGUUCAAGUUGCAUCCAACUUUAUUGGGUCUAAAACAUCCGUAGCUUGUUUAUUAAGUCUCUUGUGAAAUCCUACGUCUCAAGCGUGGGGCUUGCAGGGGAUACUGAUAAGCUAGAGACCGGUAGACGUAAGGAGUACAAUCAAGGUAAUGGUUAAAUAUGUUAAUCUUGGUUGGACUAACAAUUAGCGAAGGCACCUUACGAGGACGGAUCUGACAGUGAGGGAUGAAGGCCAGGGGCGCAAAACGGAUUAGAUACCCGUGUAGUCCUGGCAGUAAACACUGUUCACUAAACAUCGGGCCCUCUUCGAGAGGAUUCGGUGCUGAAGGGAAGCUGUAGAGUGAACUACCUGGGAAGUAUAGUCGCAAGGUCGAAACUUAAAGGAAUUGGCGGGGAGACAUACAACGAGUGACGCGUGCGGUUUAAUUAGAUUCUACACCGUGAACCUCACCAGGAGCGACAGCAGGAUGAAGGUCAGUCUAAAGGGCUUACCUGACACGCUGAGAGGUGGUGCAUGGCC
rnacentral:rRNA from 1 species